UGGAUUUUGGGUGAAUUUUGGGCGAAUUUUGGGUGAAUUUUGGGUGAAUUUUGUUGGAUUUUGGGGUCACCCGGGGGUCCCCGUGCCCCUCCCCCCCCAGCCCCGCAGCGCCCCCUGCUGGACAACUACGACUGCAAGCCGCCCCCCGGCGCCUCUCCCCCACCCCCGUUCAUCCUGCUGAAGCCGCGAUGUGCCCCUCCCCCACACACCCCGCAGCCGCCCUGGGCGGAGCCUCGGACACUGGGCCCCCCCCAGGCCCCCCCGAGCCGCCGCGUCUCGGCCGAGCCCGACUCCGACCCCCCCGAGGACGGCGAUUACACCAACGAACCUUUCGCCAGCGGCUACGUGACGGUGCUGCCGGACCCGACCCCUCCCAGUGACGUCAUCGAUGAUGUCACGGCCGACCCCGGUGACGUCAUCGGGGCGGGGGAGGGGCCGGAGGAGGGGGAGGGGGAGGAGCCGUACGAGAACAUCCCCGAGGGAGAGGGCGGCAACUCCCGGGUGCCCAGCCUGGAGUACAUCAACGUGCCGGGAACCGAGGCGAGCGAGAGCGACGAAGGCGCCGACUACGAGAACCUCUGAGCCCCUCCCCCACCCCCGUUAUUUAUUGGCUGCCGACGAAUCCUGAGAAGGGCCCCGCCCACACUCCGACAAGCCCCGCCCCCUUUUCUACGAGCCCUCCCCCCACUCUCAUUUGCCCCUCCCCCACCCCAAUAAAGGCAC